GAUGAACGCUGGCGGCGUGCCUAAUACAUGCAAGUCGAGCGAACGGACGAGAAGCUUGCUUCUCUGAUGUUAGCGGCGGACGUGUGAGUAACACGUGGAUAACCUACCUAUAAGACUGGGAUCACUUCGGGACACCGGAGCUAAUACCGGAUAAUAUUUUGAACCGCAUGGUUCAAAAGUGAAAGACGGUCUUGCUGUCACUUAUAGAUGGAUCCGCGCUGCAUUAGCUAGUUGGUAAGGUAACGGCUUACCAAGGCAACGAUGCAUAGCCGACCUGAGAGGGUGAUAGGCGACACUGGAACUGAGACACGGUCAAGACGACUAAGGGAGGCAGCAGUAGGGAAUCUUACGCAAUGGGCGAAAGCCUGACGGAGCAACGCCGAGUGAGUGAUGAAGGUCUUCGGAGCGUAAAACUCUGUUAUUAGGGAAGAACAUAUGUGUAAGUAAAUGUGCACAGCUUGACGGUACCUAAUCAGAAAGCCACGGCUAACUACGUG
rnacentral:rRNA from 1 species